AUUGAACGCUGGCGGCAGGCCUAACACAUGCAAGUCGAACGCGUGGCGGACGGGUGAGUAAUGUCUGGGAAACUGCCCGAUGGAGGGGGAUAACUACUGGAAACGGUGGCUAAUACCGCAUACUAUCGGAUGUGCCCAUAUGGGAUUCGCUAGUAGGUGGGGUAAAGGCUCACCUAGGCGACGCUCCCUAGCUGGUCUGAGAGGAUGAUCAGCAACACUGGAACUGAGACACGGACCAGACUCCUACGGGAGGCAGCAGUGGGGAAGAUUGCACAAUGGGCGCAAGCCUGAUGCAGCCAUGCCGCGUGUAUGAAGAAGGCCUUAGGGUUGUAAAGUACUUUCAGCGGGGAGGCGUUACCCGCAGAAGAAGCACCGGCUAACUCCGUGCCAGCAGCCGCGGUAAUUC
rnacentral:rRNA from 1 species